AAAAGAAUAAAAAUAAUGAAGAUUGUAAAUCGUAUGUUGUUGAAUUUAGUACACUUAGUCUGUUUGGAACUAAUUUGUUAUGUAUUUUUUAAUUUGCUGCAGAAAUGCAAGGUGAGGAAGGAUUCAACUGUUGCACGAAUUAGAGCAGCUUCUAUAUUUUCACUAUAUAAAGUAUUCUUACAAAUGGAUGAUGAAGCCUUCAACAUUGAGAGUUCAAUCUCAGCUAUCAGCACCAAUUUCAUUCAAACAACAGCACCAAUAAGCCCAAUAGGCUGUGAACUCCUUCUCUCAGAAAACGAAGCUGCAACUGCAAUACAUUUACUACAUGCAUGCAUUGUUUUGAGUGCAGAUGCAAGUUGCAACUGUCCACAAGAUCUUAUCAGUUGUUGAUGUUUAUCUUUCAAGUUUCCCUCUCCUUUUCUGCAACUGAUAUUGUUUCUGUUUUCAGAAUGUCAUGUUGGACACUGAUAUAUCUCUGUAUACAAACAAAACAAGGAAGAAAUUAUUAUCCUAAAAACCAUUUUUCUUAGUAUUAGAAAUAGCUUAUUAUAGGCAUCUACUACUAUUAAAUUUUGCUUACGAUUCAAUCUAUGGUUAAAAAAGAUUACACAGCAAUUACUUGAUCCUUUUGUUUUGAAAAGUUUCUUAUACACCUCAUGCAGAUUCCUUUUACUAUCCUACAUGAAUCUUCCAACACAACUACUGAUUAUGUAAUCAAAAAGCUAUCAUCCAAUUUUGAUAUUCUCAAAUGCUAGAUACACAAAAAACAAAAAAUAUUUAAAUUUAUGUAUAUAUGAAUUGAAUUGGGGUUACCAUGGCAAACAUGAAGAUUAGUGAAAUACCUGCCUUCUGCCAACAAAGGACAUCUUUCAACUUGAAGAAAUAACAAAGAGGAAGGCAGCAUUUCCCCUGCCAUUUUCUGCAGCUCAUGACAUUCUUCAAUUAUUAAUUGUUGGAG